rnacentral:rRNA from 1 species
CCCUUAGAUGUUCUGGGCCGCACGCGCGCUACACUGAUGCAUUCAACGAGCCUAUCCUUGACCGACAGGUCCGGGUAAUCUUUGAAUCUGCAUCGUGACGGGGAUAGAUUAUUGCAAUUAUUAAUCUUCAACGAGGAAUGCCUAGUAGGCGCAAGUCAUCAGCUUGCGUCGAUUACGUCCCUGCCCUUUGUACACACCGCCCGUCGCUCCUACCGAUUGGGUGGGCUGGUGAAAUGUUCGGAUCGGCCGUUUGUCGCGGUUUCCGCGUCAUGUGGCUGGGAAGUUCAUUAAACCCUCCCACCUAGAGGAAGGAGAAGUCGUAACA